AUGGACGUGUUCAUCCACGAGGACUACGUGAACAAGCGCAACAUGGUGAGGAGGGAGCAGAGGAUGAAGAUGCAGAUGCAGCUUGGCAGCCCAGGCGCGUGCCGGCCGCCGCCGGCGCACGGGGAAGACAGCCCGGGAGCGGGAGCGCCGAGGCAGUGCCUGACGCCAACCGGCAUCUCACCGUCGUCCAUCAUCAGGUCUCCGUUAUCAGGCUCGUCGGAGGAAGCCGUCUCAUCGGAUCACCGCCGCCUCUUCGAUUGCCUGAGGCCGUACUAG
rnacentral:rRNA from 1 species